AGCAGGGAUACACGUGAUCACGGGAGCGGCGGCUUGAGUUGGAGCUUGAAUCGCAGCCAAAAUGAGAAAAAAAAGAAAGAAAAAACCCCAAAACAGAGAGGACCCAAAGAAAUUUUUAGCACGCUAAAAGGCUGGUAUAAACUUGCAUACUUCUUCAGCUGUGGGUCUAAGGGGCUGCUGGGAGACGUCUGCUUCGGCCGGCUCCUCGGAACUUUCUUCGUUCAGAUGUCUGGGUGAGGGUCGCAUCUGCUGUCCUGGUGAGAAGUCUCACUAAAACAUAGGAGCUGCUUCACAGGGCAUACGCUUAUCUGAAUGGCAGUUACAGUUUCUCGAAGAAAAAUGCUGCUCCAUUGGUGAAGCUUUUUAACCUGUUUGGUGCGUCAGUUGAAAAAAGGCCACAGGAGCUGCUUCUAGCCGGAUAGCUGAAUCCCUGCAGGAUCAGGGUGCCCCAGAAGCCACAGAAGAAGUUUCAUUGGACAGUCCAGUGAGGGAUCCAGUACUUUCACCAGAACCUACUCCUGGAAUCACUUCUGUAACACCUUCUACAUUAGUAGCUCUCAGAAUGGAUUUGAAAAGUGUAACAGCCCCUGUAAUUUUAGGUACAGAGAAGAGAUUGAAGAGGAAGCAAAUGGAGAUUUGUUUGAUAUAGAAAUCAAUGCAUCAGACCCAGAGAAAAUUGGGGCUGGCAUGAAUGCUUAUAUGGCUUACAGAGUAACAACAAAGACAUCUCUUUCCAUGUUUCACAAAAAUUAAUUCUGUGCUAAAAGAAGAUUCAGCGAUUUCCUUGGCUUGCACAGCAAAUUAGCAAUGAAGUACAUGCAUAUUGGUUACAUUGUGCCUCCCACUCCAGAAAAAAGUAUUGUAGGAUAGAAGGAGAAACAGGCAGUGGUUGCUAUGGGAAGAAUUCGCCACCACUGCGGAGUCCCGUCUCCUACUGUCUUCUACUGUGAGUGAGGCUCUGCUCGUAAGAGCGGCUGUUGUAUUGGGACCUUAUUAACACCCUACCUGACUGGAAAGGACCCUCACCAUCUACUCAGGUGCCUCAGGGGAAAACCCAGGACCCCAAGCCCUCUCUGAGGGAGCCUCUCUCAACUGUGUUUGGGACCCUGGCUGCUGCUGCCCAGCCCUGCUAGUUUUUCUGCCACUGCUCCGGGUUUUUCGCUACACUGUAACCCAGCACCCCAUGCCUGCCAGGACACCUCUCAGCUCCUGCUACAGCUGCGGAGUUUCUACUACAUUUCGUUUACUACCCCACGUGUGCCCGCCUCUGCUGUUCCAGCCGUUGCUCCAAGGAUCCUGCUACAGCCCAUUUCGCUAUCUGGAGGGACAUCGGGACCGGCUGCUCCUGUGAGGUUGUAAAGGAAGCCCCUUUUCUAUCUCUUCCCCUGGCGCGCCCCCCAUUAACCUCGUGGAGAAGGCAACUGAGCUUGUGCCACAGCGCCCCCUGCAGCCACGGGGGAAUCAUCACACCUGCCCUGCCAGCUGUGACCAUAACUACAAUAAAGGGGAAAGUGCUUGACAGCUGAGAGAAGGCUGUUACUGCAUUUCUGUUUUUGUGUGUUGUUGCUGCCAUUGUUGUUGCUUGUUUGCCUUGUGUCCUAAGGUGACUUUAUGAUGCUUAUAUCCCCAGUCAUUUGAUCUGCUUAUGCUGGAUGCUGAGUUCUGUGCUUUUAAGACUAGACCUGAGAGCAAAGGGAGGUGGAAGCGGUGGUGUGCAGUUUGCAGAAGCUUCACUCUACUCCCCCGCAUUCCUCACUCUCACCGACUGUGUUGUCUCCAGCACGGACAGCGGGAGAGAGCUCUCCUUUGCUUUUAGUUAGGGGGUUUUUUUAGCUAGCUGAGGAAGAGAAGUUCCCCAGACUGUGGCUUUUCUUUUUCUUGGAACUGGUCAGCCCUGAUCUGGACCAAAAACCAAGAAAAACACCAGGAACUCACGCCUGUGGCCCACCAGGGCUCGGGACGCAGCAUUUUCCAGCGCAGGAAAAGGACUCUCUUUUAAUUUGACAUCUCUUCAGAACAAUGAGAGAUUUUAUUGUUAAAUAUUAUUCAUUUUUUCAUGUUUGUGAGUACUUUGCUUGCUAAAUAAACAGUUUUUUCCACUUUUCUCCAAGGAGAUUAUUCUCCCGAACUGGUUGGGGAAGGGGCUGCUGAAAUCUGCUUUUUUUAGAGGAGAUCACUUCAGGAGUUUCCUCCCAAAAUUUGCCAUAAACCAGGACACCUUGUUAUGCAUAUACAUACUAGUAAAGAACUGUUAUACCUUUUCCCA